AACGAACGCUGGCGGCAUGCCUAACACAUGCAAGUCGAACGAGACCUUCGGGUCUAGUGGCGCACGGGUGCGUAACGCGUGGGAAUCUACCCUUGGGUUCGGAAUAACAGUUAGAAAUGACUGCUAAUACCGGAUGAUGACGUAAGUCCAAAGAUUUAUCGCCCAAGGAUGAGCCCGCGUAAGGUUAGCUUGUUGGUGGGGUAAUGGCCUACCAAGGCGACGAUCUUUAGCUGGUCUGAGAGGAUGAUCAGCCACACUGGGACUGAGACACGGCCCAGACUCCUACGGGAGGCAGCAGUGGGGAAUAUUGGACAAUGGGCGAAAGCCUGAUCCAGCAAUGCCGCGUGAGUGAUGAAGGCCUUAGGGUUGUAAAGCUCUUUUACCAGGAAUGGUAAUGACAGUACCUGGAGAAUAAGCUCCGGCUAACUCCGUGCCAGCCGCCGCAGUAA
rnacentral:rRNA from 1 species